UAAGUACUAAAUAGANNNCCCAACANUAGUUGAUUACANUGAACAAGUUACUGUAGGGAUAACAGCGUAAUAUAUAUCUAAAGUUCUUAUUUUGAUAUAAGUUUGCGACCUCGAUGUUGAAUUNAUAUUACUUUCAAGCGCAAGAGCCUGAAAAGUGGGUCUGUUCGACCCCUAAAUAUAUACAUGAUUUGAGUUCAAAUCGGUGUAAACCAGAUUGGUUUCUAUCUAUUNUUAUUUGUGUCUUAGUACGAAAGGACCUGAAACAAUAUUAUAUAAUNAUUUAUAUGGCAGAAAAAUGCUUUAGAUUUAGGAUCUAAUUAUAAUAGAUUAUUAUACUCUAUUUAACUUGCCUAAUCUCUGUUAUUAGAAUCCUUAUCGCAGUAGCUUUUUAUACCCUCCUAGAGCGAAAAAUUCUA
rnacentral:rRNA from 1 species